rnacentral:rRNA from 1 species
UACGUAGGGCGCGAGCGUUGUCCGGAAUUACUGGGCGUAAAGCGUGCGUAGGUGGUUCGUUAAGUCCGAUGUGAAAGCCCUGGGCUCAACCUGGGAAUGGCAUUGGAUACUGGCGGGCUAGAGUGCGGUAGAGGGCAGUGGAAUUCCCGGUGUAGCAGUGAAAUGCGUAGAGAUCGGGAGGAACAUCUGUGGCGAAGGCGACUGCCUGGACCAGCACUGACACUGAGGCACGAAAGCGUGGGGAGCAAACAGG